rnacentral:lncRNA from 9 species
GGGUCCAUGAGCACCCGGAGCCGCAGAGGCAGGACAAAAGUUGUGAGUAUCCAAAGCUCGGGCAGCUGGCAGCAGUGGAGCCGCCGGGGCGACGACCACCAUGCGGAGACCGGCGCGACCUUUUGAGACGCAGCUGGACCCGCCCAGUUCGGCGCCCGGGUCAUUCCAGGGUCUGGGGCAGCGGCGGGGGCCGCGGGCGGAUGGCGUGAACCCAACCGCUGCAGGAUGCCCUCCAAACACAGGGCCCCGGGGCUGUGCGCUGCUGAGCCGAGCCAUAGAAGACCAAGAAGGCCACUGACAUCAUAGACAGAUUGCUCUUACUGUGAACUCUCUUCCUGUGACAUGUCACAUCCUCAGAGCAGAGGUCGCCCUCCUGGAAGAAACCAAUGUUUUGUGAGGCAUUCAAAUUCACAAUCCAGAGUUCUUUCUAUGAAGGAAGAAGAGAUGAGGGAGAGAGAGAGUAAAGAUGCCCAUGCAGCCUCAGGUCCUAAGAGCAUCAUCCAACAAGAUGAACAGGAUCCGCCCCUCCAACGCCUUCCUGGGACAGUCCAGCAGGACAGCAGCCUUAUUCCAUCUUCCUGAGGGCAACACUCCAAUGUGGCCUGAGCAAUAUCCAUUCAUCCUGUGUGUCAGAGUGGCAGUGCUGUGAAGUAGCCACAAGCGGAGGUAAAAAUGAAGACGGCUUUUCACAAUCUUGCUUACAGAGGGAAACAACUAGGUGACUAGUGUUGGACAGUGAGAAUUAAAUGGAAGCUAUUCAGUAGGGCUUCUGGGAAAGCUCC